rnacentral:rRNA from 1 species
CCACUUUAAUACCGAGCAAUUCUAUACUACUAUAGAACCUUUUAUGUUAAAACUAGUAACAAGAAGACCCCUUCUCUUUAAUGCAAGCGUAACUCAGCCAGGAAAACCCACUGACAAUUAACACCUAUGAGCCUGCAGUAGAAACAUCACAAGAAAACCCUACUUUUCUCUAUGUUAACCUAACACAAGAGCAUUACAAGAAAGAUUAAAAGAAAAAGAAGGAACUCGGCAAACAUUAACCCCGCCUGUUUACCAAAAACAUCGCCUCUUGACAAAACUAUAGGAGGUCCAGCCUGCCCAGUGACUCUGUUCAACGGCCGCGGUAUCCUAACCGUGCGAAGGUAGCGUAAUCACUUGUUCUUUAAAUGAGGACUAGUAUGAAUGGCAUCACGAAGGUUAUACUGUCUCCUUUUUCUAAUCAGUGAAACUAAUCUCUCCGUGAAGAAGCGGGGAUAAUAAUAUAAGACGAGAAGACCCUAUGGAGCUUUAAACUAAAUAGCAUUUGCUUUUAUAUGCAUCCUUCUUCAGAGAAAUUAACACUUACUUAAGCUUACUGACUAUUAGUUUUGGGUUGGGGUGACCGCGGAGCACAAAACAACCUCCACGUUGGAUGGGGCUACCCCCUGAGCUAAGAGCUACAACUCUAAGCACCAAUAAAUUGACAUUAAUUGACCCAAUAUAUUGAUCAACGAACCAAGUUACCCUAGGGAUAACAGCGCAAUCCGUUUCAAGAGCCCCUAUCGACAAACGGGUUUACGACCUCGAUGUUGGAUCAGGGUAUCCCAGUGGUGCAGCCGCUACUAAAGGUUCGUUUGUUCAACGAUU